AACGAACGCUGGCGGCAUGCCUAACACAUGCAAGUCGAACGAGGCCUUCGGGUCUAGUGGCGCACGGGUGCGUAACGCGUGGGAACCUGCCCUUAGGUUCGGAAUAACUCCCCGAAAGGGGUGCUAAUACCGGAUAAUGUCUUCGGACCAAAGAUUUAUCGCCUUUGGAUGGGCCCGCGUUGGAUUAGCUAGUUGGUAGGGUAAGAGCCUACCAAGGCGACGAUCCAUAGCUGGUCUGAGAGGAUGAUCAGCCACACUGGGACUGAGACACGGCCCAGACUCCUACGGGAGGCAGCAGUGGGGAAUAUUGGACAAUGGGCGAAAUCCUGAUCCAGCAAUGCCGCGUGAGUGAUGAAGGCCUUAGGGUUGUAAAGCUCUUUUACCCGGGAUGAUAAUGACAGUACCGGGAGAAUAAGCUCCGGCUAACUCCGUG
rnacentral:rRNA from 1 species